AUUGAACGCUGGCGGCAGGCCUAACACAUGCAAGUCGAACGAGUGGCGGACGGGUGAGUCCUGUCUGGGAAACUGCCUGAUGGAGGGGGAUAACUACUGGAAACGGUAGCUAAUACCGCAUACCAUCGGAUGUGCACAGAUGGGAUGAGCUAGUAGGUGGGGUAAUGGCUAACCUAGGCGACGAGCCCUAGCUGGUCUGAGAGGAUGACCAGCAACACUGGAACUGAGACACGGUCCAGACUCCUACGUGAGGCAGCAGUGGGAAAUAUUGCACAAUGGGCGCAAGCCAGAUGCAGCCAUGCCGCGUUUAUGAAGAAGGCCUUCGGGUUGUAAAGUACUUUCAGCGGGGAGGCGUUACCCGCAGAAGAAGCACCGGCUAACUCCGAGCCAGCAGCCGCGGUAAUAC
rnacentral:rRNA from 1 species